CCUUCACAGCGCGUGUAAAACGCGCGAAUACACCCUCACAUCCGGUUUCACGCAAAACGGUACAUAAAAUGUUGCACUUUUCGUAAACAUACCGUUUUGCCACAGAAGACCUUUCCUCGAACAACAUGCGAUAUCAGCAGAUCCGUCCGACAGAUUUGCGAACGGAUUGCACCAGUGCGAUCAGCACGAUAAAGACAACAAAUCCACG
rnacentral:lncRNA from 1 species